rnacentral:rRNA from 1 species
CCUACGGGCGGCAGCAGUGGGGAAUAUUGCACAAUGGGGGAAACCCUGAUGCAGCAACGCCGCGUGAAGGAAGACGGUUUUCGGAUUGUAAACUUCUGUUCUUAGUGAAGAAAAAUGACGGUAGCUAAGGAGCAAGCCACGGCUAAAUACGUGCCAGCAGCCGCGGUAAUACGUAGGUGGCAAGGGUUGUCCGGAAUUACUGGGUGUAAAGGGAGCGCAGGCGGGAAGCCAAGUCAGCUGUGAAAACUACGGGGUUAACUUGUGGACUGCAGUUGAAACUGGUUUUCUUGAGUGAAGGAGAGGUAGGCGGAAUGCGGGGUGUAGCGGUGAAAUGCGUAGAUAUUCGGAGGAACACUCGUGGCGAAGGCGGGUUCCUGGACCUUAACUGACGCUGAGGCACGAAGGCCAGGGGAGCGAAAGGGAUUAGAUACCCCUGUAGUC